rnacentral:lncRNA from 1 species
UUCUUUUUUUUUUUUUUUUUUGCUUUUUUUGAGCUGUACCCACAGCAUAUGGAGGGUCCCAGGCUAGGGGUUGAAUUGGAGCUACCGUUGGUAGCCUAUGUCACAGCCACAGCACUGCAGGAUCCAAGGAGUGUCUGCAACCUAUGCCACAGCUCAUGGCAAUGCUAGAUCCCUGACCCACUGAGUUAGGGCAGAGAUGGAACUGGCAUCCUCACAUAUAUUAGUCGGGUUUCUGCUGCGCCAGAACAGGAACUCCCAUAUUUUCUUUUUAAGGCAGAACAUAGUUAUCACUUCUUUCUUUUGGUUAAUGUCUAAAUAAAUCAUGUAAUAUGUAUGCACAUCAACUUAGUAUUUCACACAUAAUAGUAAGCAUGAGGUAUAAAAUACUAUUUAUCUGAACAUGAUCUUUAUUCCUGAAUUCUUUCUUUCAUACUCUUAACCCUUGAGAGUUUCCAAAUCCUGCUGAGCUCUUGUCUCUUUGGGGAAGGUGUUCAGGAUCUGAUUCAUCUCUUGGGCUACUUUUUCACUGUGGUUGCGUUAUAUUCCCUGGUCCCUGUCCUGCUGCAGUUGGCAUCUAUGUAUGGUGACAUGCAAAUGGAUAAAUGCUCAUGAACUCCUAGAUGUCACUGUAAAUACCCAGAAGUAGACCCAUAGUCUCUGUCCUCAAACAGCUUGUAACAUAAAUGAGGAUAUACAUUAAGCUCCAAAAAAAACCCCAGAGAUUAUUGGAAUGUUCUGUAGAAUUUACCGUGAUGCAGACUCUAAGAGCCCUGUCAUCUGGACAUGUGCUUGGAAGCUAUUUGUAGUGCACCUAUUAUGCACUUCGUACUCUGCUGAGUACUCAAGAGUCUGUGUGGAGAAAACUGAUAUGUUUUCUCAACUCCACUGAUAUUAAAGGCUGAAUGUCCCAAGAGUUCUCUAAAAAACAAAAUAAGAACAAAAACCAGGUGCGUUAUUGACUACUAUGAAACUUGUACUCUCGGGAAGAGUGGGGUGACAGUAAACAAGACAGUUUCCAACAGUGACAGGUGUGAUGAAGAAUGUGAAACCCAACAGUGGGAGAGAAUAACUGCAAAUGAGAGUGGGGAAUACCUCAGAGUGGGUGAACAGUGAAGGCCUUUCUCAGGAAAUGACGUAGGAUCUGAGACCACAUCCUAGAAGGCACCAUCUAUGAGAAGAGUUCCAAAAAAAUGCUUUUUACCACAAGAAGCAUCAAGAGCAAAGGUCCUAAACAAAAGCCGGCCUGAACAUUUAUACAACUAACUCAAAAAUCUAAUCGAAUACAGAGAAAAUACUAUGAAACUACCAAGGAGCAGGUAGCAGAUUCUAGGAGCCUAUAGCUGUGGCCAGAAACUUUUUCUAUAAAUGACCAGAUAGUAAAUAUUUCAGGUUUUGUGGCCAGGUGGUAUUUGUCACAAUUACUCAACUCCUCUGUUGUAGUACAAAAACUGGGAUAGACAAUAUGUAAAUAAGUGGGCUGGACUGUGUGCCAAUAAAACUUUAUUGUUAAAAACAGGCAGAGGGCUGUUCUGGCUUAUUGGCUGGAUUUUGCCAAUCUGUGAUUUACACUGUUAAACAAAGGACUUGCUCACACUGUGGCAGAUUGUGUAUCCAAGCUGGUCACUCCACUAUAUCCCAUCUCAAAUGCUCCUAUGACACUGUUUUAUUGACAUUCCUGCACUAAAAUGGAGUCUACACUCCCUCUCCUUGAAUUUGAGCAUUCUUCAGACCUCAGAUGCAUGGAAAGUGACUCCUGAAGUUGAAUCAUGAACACAUGAGGAAGUUUCACCUUUGGACACACGACAUGAAAGUCCUGGGUUUACAUGUAAAAAGUUCAUCUGCUCUGAAACUGCCUUGCUGGGGUGAUCACAUGAAGACAGUGCAUAAAGUUCCAGAUCUGAUCCGCUGGAGCUGUGUGAAUCAGUGACCUUUCAGAUGACUCCUGUUCCCAACCUUCUAGCCACUCUUCCUGAAGCCAAAUGGAACAGAGAUGGACUACCCUUGUUAAGCCUUUAUGAGAUUUCAGGUUCAUGAGCAAAGAAUAUGUUUUUGCUGUUUGAUGUCACUAAUUUUUGAAGGAGUUUUUGAUGUAACCAUAGAUCAUUAAUACCCUUUUAAAAUUAUUGUUUAAUCGCAUUUAAUUCUUUUACUGGCAUUCUAAGAGACUGUACAUUAUCCUUAUUUUAUGCAGGACUGAAACCCAAGCUCAGGGAAAGGAAUUCAUAAAACUUAAUUUCUAAAAAGUUGUUAUUUUAACAGAAUCACAAGUUAUUUAAGUAGCUGCAUGAAACUCUGGACUUUUAAACUCUAUUUCAUUUAUUUUAUUUUUCAGAAUUAAAACGUCCCCGGAUUCUUCUUCUUGCCUUUGAUUGCUUUGCAGAACUUUGCUGUUGUACAAGGAAUAUUUGUAAGUACACAUUGGAGUAUUUUAAUCAAAGCUACCCUUAAAUCCUUGUAUGGUAAUUCCAACAUCUGUGUCAUUUUGGUAUUGGUGUCUAUUGAUUGUCUUUCCUCAUUCAAGUUGAAAUUUUCUGUUUCUUGGUGAGAGAAUUUUGGACUGUAUCAUGGACUUUUUGAGUAUUGUAAGACUCUACUUCCUAUCUCUAGUUUAUGUUUUAGUAGGAUCAUAGUAAGCUUGGACUUCUAUAAAAAAUACUAUAAAUUGGGUUGCUUAUAAUUAGCAAGAAUUUAUUUCUUAAAGUUCUAGAGUCUGAACGUCUGUGAUCAGGGUGUCAUUGUGGUUGGGUUCUGGCAGGAGUCCUCUUCUGAGUUGCAGGCUGGCUAUUUCAGUGUAGCUGAGAAUAAGGAGAGGAAGCAAGCUUAUAAGGACACUGAUCCCAUUCAUGGGGACACCAUCCUGAUGACCUCACUCAAUCCUAAUUACCUUUCAAUGGUCUCACCUCCUAAUAGCAUUAUAUUGGGAGAAAAGUUUUCAACAUAUGAAUUUUGAGCAGCCAUAAAUAUUUAGCCCAUAGCAGGUAGUUAGCCAACCUGCUUAGGUUUAGAAUUCAUGUUCGGGCUCCCUUUGUGGUUUAAAUAUCAAAUUUAGUGCUUAUAGUCUAUAAAGUGAUGUACUUUUUCCUUUUUUAAAAGUUUUAUUGAAGUAUAAUUAAUUUACAAUGCAUGUUCCCAUUCGCCAGUCAUUCCCUAUACUACAGUUGUGCAUAUGCCAAUCCCAAACCCCCAGCCCAUCCCUCUUCCCUCCCUCUGUCCCCUUUGGUAACUGUAAGUUUGUUUUCAAAGCCUGUGAGUCUAUUUCUGUUCUGCAAAUAAGUCCAUUUGUAUCCUUUUUUUGGUAAAGAUAUCACAUAUAAGUGAUACUGUAUGAUGUUUGUCUUUUACUGUCUAACUUCUAUAAAGUGAUAUUCCGUCUGUUCAACUUGUAUGUUGCUCAGAUAACACUACUCCACCCUACAGUGUCCAUGGCUUUGUCUGGACAGGGGGAAGGGACUAUUUAGUUACUGCAGUGUAGGAGUGGAUAUCAUGACUGUGCCCAGAGGCUCCAUCCAGGAGUGGUGCUUUGUCCUUUCUCAAGUUCCCAAGGUCCCAAGCCAGUCACCCUUCUUUUCUCUACCUUCCAGAAUUUUCUACUAGAUAACUUACACAUUAUGCCCAGUUUUUUUUAUUAUUAUUAGCAAAGGAAAAUGGAAUGUUUACCAUACAUUCAGAACCAGCAGUCCUGAUUUAUUCUAAAGCCUAUUCUUCUUCCACUAUUUCAAACUGUUUUGAGGCUGUGAUAUUUGAAAUAGUAGGUGUCCUGCCCAUUUUUAAAUUGUAUCCUGAACAUUCAAAUACAUUCCUUCCACUGUUCUUGUCUGCUCAAUUUUUCUAUUUUCCUCUGCCUAACAAUAUGUCAUAGGUACAUCCAGGCUAAUUUUUUCUUUCCUAUGUGAUUCUUUCAUCCCCUAUCAUAUCAUGUCUCUAAAGAGAGGGACACUCCUGUCACUAGUCAUAUUCAAGUCACUGAUUGGCAUAGUUCACUAGUGUGUGGAAUCACAGCAUGUUUUGAGGAGGAGGUAUGGGGGAGGCAUUCUUUUCUGUACUGUCACAACAUGAAGAUCCAGAGUAAAAUCCAGGGGGAAAGCGGGGUCCCCUCACCCUAUCGUCCUUCUUCCUCUUCCAUACAUUUAUCCUCAUGAAUAAUUGGUGCAAGGGCAAGAGUGGGAACAGGUCCACCCAUUUCUUUCCCUGCCUCCCUUCUUCCCUUUUAAAAAUUUUUCUUCUAUGUAAUUGAAGUGAGGAAAGCUUAGUUUGUUCCCAAAUGAAAGGUCUUACCCUUGGCCUCCUGUUCUUCUUUGUAAUCAUCCAGAGUGUUUCUAAUAUUUGGGACUAGGAUUAGGCACUGAAGAAAAUAAAACAGAGCUGGAAAACUCAUGGAGUAUUAAGUUUCCUUUUGGUCUAGUCCAGGGUCCCU